UGGGGAAUAUUGCACAAUGGGCGCAAGCCUGAUGCAGCAACGCCGCGUGAGGGACGACGGCCUUCGGGUUGUAAACCUCUUUUAGCAGGGAAGAAGCGCAAGUGACGGUACCUGCAGAAAAAGCACCGGCUAACUACGUGCCAGCAGCCGCGGUAAUACGUAGGGUGCAAGCGUUGUCCGGAAUUAUUGGGCGUAAAGAGCUCGUAGGCGGUUUGUCGCGUCUGCUGUGAAAACCCGAGGCUCAACCUCGGGCCUGCAGUGGGUACGGGCAGACUAGAGUGCGGUAGGGGAGAUUGGAAUUCCUGGUGUAGCGGUGGAAUGCGCAGAUAUCAGGAGGAACACCAAUGGCGAAGGCAGAUCUCUGGGCCGUAACUGACGCUGAGGAGCGAAAGCGUGGGGAGCGAACA
rnacentral:rRNA from 1 species